rnacentral:lncRNA from 1 species
GGCACUAACGGCUUGAGCACCGACAACAACAUCGCCAGCAUCAUCGCAACCACUUCCACCACCAUUACCAUCAACACCACUAUUGACAAGAGCGCUACAACCACUAUCACUAUCAACAUCAGCAUAUUACCACCACCACCACAGUCACCAGCGCCAUCGCAGGAGCUUCUACAUGUGCACCUGGUCUGCUAGAAAUACUAACCAAAUCUCUCUCAAAUUACACACUCUACUGUCUUAGAGAACACACAGCAUUCUCUUCGUGGUUAUAGUAGGUUCAUUCAGCGUAGAAAAUAAGAUGGGAUGGUCAUGGUUAGAAUUCUUUUAAUUAUAAGUUUGCUUGAUUAGGAUAGAUCUGGGGCUAAACAAUAACAUCAAUUACAAUCAUUACAAACAUAUUGAAGGGACUGCUGAAGUGCCGUUCGCUAUGCUAGAUAUAACAACCAAGUCUCAGACAAUUCCCACAUUACUAUAGUAUUGAGAGAAGGACACAUUGUAAAAUGUUGUUCCUGGUGUAAAACAAACUGGAUUGAAUGAUCACUGCUUGAACAUUUUUGAUCAUAAAUCUGCUUGAUUAAGCCUAACCUAGGGUUGAAUAACAGCAUGAUCACCACCACCACCACCGCCAGUAACAAACACCCCUGCUGUGGCGUAGAAAUGGCAGCCAAAACUUCCACACAUCAUAUUGGAUAAUGUCGUGAUUAAUCCACAACAACCGUGCAGUCGUGCCUGGAUCAGUACUGACCUGGGAUUAAACAACGAAACUACUGCUACCAUCUGAUCCUUAAAUCUACAAACACACUGCUACUACACUGGAUUACUAAGAAAGAAAUAAAGCGUUUCACCUUACUUCCAUCUUUAAUCCCUUUCCUUGUGUUCUGUCUUAACCAAAACACUUCGCCCUCGCUCCCUCUUCUUGUGUCAACACACACACACACACUCACAAACAUACAUAUAAGCACACACAAACCCACACACACACAUGCAAGGAUACAGACACACACAUAUAGGCAAGACAUAUAGAUACAUACAUGUACACGCACUUUCACUUAUCUUCUGUCUCUUCAUUUCUUCCUGUUCCUCUCUCAAACAUCUGUACACUUUUUUUCUAACACACACACACGUCUAUCUUUUACACAAAAUACAUUCACCAUUUCUUCUAAGCGCUCUCACUUUCUCAUACAUCUUCCCUAUUUUUUAGAUUCUCUCUCAUAUUCUUACCAUUUCUUAGUUUCACUAUCUCUCUCUCUCUAUCUUUCUCUCAUAUUUUCACCAUUCCUUUGAGUCACUCUCUUACACUUUCUCCGUCUCACUCAUCUCUUUCUCACAAAUAAACUCUCACCCUUUCUCCCCUCUCUCUUUCUCACUUACUCUUUCUUUGUCUCCUCUACUUCUCUUUCUUGAAUUCACGCAUAUUCUCUCCCUUUCCCUUUUUCACACACACACAGCACAACACAUGCGCGCGCACACACACACAUAAUCUUUAUCUCGUCUAUACGCACUCAAACACGCGCGCGCUUUCUGUUUCUAUAAUCAUCUAUUCUCUCUCCCUUUCUUUCACACGCUCUCUUUCUCUUAUGCUUACGCGCACUCUUUCCCUCUCACAUACAUAUUCUUCCUUCCUCUGUCACACACAAAUAGAUUCAGCCACACACACACACACACAUUCAUACAUACACAAACAUUAACACUGAAGCGCUAACCCUUUCGUUCUUUCCUUCUCCCUCUCUCUCACACCCACUCUCUAACUUUUACUCUCUCUCUCUCUAUCUUCCCCCACCGUCUCUUUAACACUCCCUAUAGUAAUAAUAAUAAUUUUAAUAAAGCACGGAGCGUCAACAGAGCCAGAUAGACAAGCUGGUAUCAUUUCCAACACUUUAUAUAUCAAACACAAUAACAACUGCUGCCAGAUCCGAAAAUAAGUUGUCGCUUCUUAAGAACAGGAUAAAAAGGAACCCUAAAAAAAGAAGAAAAAAAAUCGUAUUUGUUUACAUAUUUAUUCCAACUUUACCAUUUGCCUGAGCUGCCUCUGUAUCUAUACAUACAUAUAUAUAUAUAUCGAAAGAUUGUUUCCUUUUUCUCUCAGGAUACAUUUUACCUGUCUCACUGCCUCUUUCAAGUAAUUCAAACCUAGUCUUGUUUUGACAAUCUUUCGCAAUUUAUACACCUGUUCUUUGAAUCUUUCCCCAAAAUCUUGUCUCUAUAAGUGGAUAUUUCCAGAAGCUACAUAGCUGUCAAUUUUUUAACACAUAUAUACAUACUUAUAUAAAUAUAUAUACAUAUACAUAUAUAUAUAUAGCCAUUCAUAUUUUUCACCUUAUAAUAUCUACGUUAACAUAUAUCUGCAUAUUAUAUAUAUUAAUAUAAACACACACACGUAUAUAAUUCCUCUUGGAUAUUUACCAUUAUUGUUAUUGUUAUUACUUGAGAAACGUUUUCACGAGAAAUCUAAUAUAAUAAUGGGUGAGUUUUUAUCAGUUUUUCUUUGAUUUUUUAAAAAUUAUAUUACGACAAAUUCUUCCUGUUUUCACAAUAAAUGACACUUUUUUUCAUGUUAAUUAUGGAAUUAUAUUUCUCCGACAAAAAAAAAAUAAUACAUACAGCUAAUUUUUGUUUGCGUGUAUAUAUAUAUAACUUGGUUUUCGGGUUCUAGUGUGCCUCCCGCUUCUUCUAUAGAAUGGAAGAAAUCCCGUUUGCAUUUGGAAUUCUGUAGGAGGGGGACAGCAGGGAUUGCCCCAAUCCCCAAUUCUUUUUUUCUUUUUAAUAUUCCUUCUUGUUGGCACAGCCUAUUGAUAACCUAAUAUGGUCUCACCAAACCUUCGUCUUCCAUAUAAAAGACAAAGGAAAUUGGAUCAAUUCCAAUGAAAGCAGUGGAGCUUUCUAUGGAACAAACUCCGGGGAUUUUUAUCUUUGUUUUAUUUUCUUUUUCACCGGAAUUUAACCCAUAUUUAACAUCUGCCAUGCAUGUAUGUAUGUGUGUGUGUGUGUGUGUGUGUGUGUUUGUAUAUAUAUAUAUAUAUAUAUAUAUAUAUAUAUAUAUAUAUUAUAUCCUUAUAUCCUUAUAUCUAUUGACUGCAGUUUCUCUAUAUGUAUAUAUAACGACUGUUUAUUUAUGCAUUUCUCCUGAAAAUGAAAAUAAGAAAAGUAUUUUGUGUAUUUUUGCCGGGAUAAAUAAACUUCUGUCUUUUACCUUAUCCCAGUUUGGCAAAACAGAUGCCACAAUUUUACCGAUUAUAUUCUUCUCCCUGCCAGCGUAAAUUUCACUAAACUAUUUGUCUCACAAAUAAUAGUUUCUAACAUUUUUUUUUUUCUGUCUCGUUAUGUUCGAUAUAACACUGUUUUAAUUCACUCAUCUGUUUCAGUCUCUGCUAGCCAGUUAAACUUAUAGCUUCAUAUCUGAAUUUAAUUAACAAUAAUAAUAAUAAGAAUAAAAACAGAAAGAAGCUAUCAAUCUUUCUCCCUAUCCUUCUGAGAAGCAGAAAUAGUAGAGCAUCGGAAGGAAAGCUUUGCGGUAUUUUUUCCAAAUCAUUAUUAUGUUCCCGAGUCCUAUUCCCGCUGAGGUUAACUUUAUCAUUUGUACUUUCGAGGUCAAUAGACUAAGUACUUGUCAAGUACCGAGGUCGAUGUAAUCGACUUCUACCACCCCCUCCUAUCAAAAUUACUGGGCUUGUGCGAAAAUUAUAAAACAAAUCAUAAUGACACCUCUGUUACGUUCCGAGUUCAAAUCCUGUCGUGGUCGACUUUUUUUUUUUCCUUUUCUUUUUCGGUCUUCCAAAGUUGACAAAAUAGAAAACUAUUCCUUCCACAAAAUGUGUGCUCCUGUACUAAGGCGAACAAUUAUGGAUUGCUAUAGUCGGUGGAACGUCGGACAAAAUACUUCUGCAGUAUUAUUUGUUCCAGCGCUUUACGUUCCGAGCUCAAAUCCCAUCGAAGUCAACUUUGCAUUUGAUUCGUCUCUGGAUGAUUAAAAAAAAGGUGGGGGCGUUCAAGAAUUACAGUAAAUACAAUCGACAGUUCUUCAGCACAAAAUUUCUGACCUUGUACACGUGU